UACGUAGGGGGCGAGCGUUGUCCGGAAUGACUGGGCGUAAAGGGCGCGUAGGUGGCUCAUCAAGUCCUGUGUGAAAUCUCCGCGCUUACCGUGGAGGGGUCAUGGGAGACUGGUGUGGCUAGGGUUCGGCAGAGGUGGGUGGAAUUCCCGGUGGAGCGGUGAAAUGCGUAGAGAUCGGGAGGAACACCAGUGGCGAAGGCGGCCCACUGGGCCGGGACCGACACUGAGGCGCGAAAGCGUGGGGAGCGAACAGG
rnacentral:rRNA from 1 species